rnacentral:rRNA from 1 species
UACGGAGGGGGCUAGCGUUAUUCGGAAUUAUUGGGCGUAAAGGGCUCGUAGGCGGUCUGUUGCGUCGGGAGUGAAAACUCAGGGCUUAACCCUGAGCCUGCUUCCGAUACGGGCAGACUAGAGGUAUGCAGGGGAGAACGGAAUUCCUGGUGUAGCGGUGAAAUGCGCAGAUAUCAGGAGGAACACCGGUGGCGAAGGCGGUUCUCUGGGCAUUACCUGACGCUGAGGAGCGAAAGUGUGGGGAGCGAACAGG